UUCUCUAACUUUAAUUAUAUAUAUAUAUAUAUAAAUUAUUACAAACAAUUUUUUUAAAAAAUUAAAUUUUUGAAAACCGAAGGGGAGACAGAAAAGAAGUAGAAAGUAAGUAUUUGUACCUUUUGCAUUAGGGUUUUUUAAAAAAAAAUAAAUUUUUAUUUUUCUCGAAAUAAAUUGAGCUAUUUAAUUUUAUAUUAUUUCUUGUUUUAAAAAGAAAUUUAAAUAAUAAAUAGAGGUGAAAUUCUAUUCAAAAUUUAAGAUAUCUAGUUUUUAAAAAAAGAUUAAAAAUCUUUUUGUUUUAGUAAUUAAAUAUUAUAAAUAUAAACAGAAAAUUUCUUUGGGGAUAAGCUCAAAAAUUUUAAUUUAAAAUUCUAAAAUUUUUAUUAAAUAAGGAUUAAAAUUUUCCGGAAAAUUUUAAUAAAUUCUUAUUAAGGGGUUUUUAAAAUAAUUUAAUGUUAAAAAAAAAAUUAACUGUUAAUUUUUAUAAAAAUGACAAAAUUAGUAAAAUUACCAUUUUUUUUCAAUUUUUUGAAAUUUUAAUUUUUUUAAUUAAUUUAAAGUAAAUGAACUCGGCAAUUUUUUUUCUUGACUGUUUAAUAAAAACAACUCAUUUAGAAAAAUUAAUUAAAUGAAAAUCCUGCUCAAUGAAUUAUUUAAAUUGCUGUAGUAUUUUGACUAUACAAAGGUAUUGAAAUAAGGCUUUAAUUGAGCGCUAAAAGAAUGGAAAUACAAGAAAACUCUUUAUUUACUUUAAAAAUUAAAGUUAUUUUUAUUUGUGAAGAAACAAUAAUUUAUAUUAGGGACAAGAAGACCCUAAGAAUUUUUAAUAAAAAGUUAUAUUGAAAUAUGAAACUUUUUAUUUUAAUUGGGGUGAUUUAACUAAAUAUUAAAAACUUUUUAAAAAAAAAAUAUGAACCGUUAUUAACGGACACUUGGAAAAAAUACUCUAGGGAUAACAGCGUAAUAAUUUUUGAUAGUUCUUAUAGACAAAAUAGUUUGCGACCUCGAUGUUGGAUUAGGAUAUUUUUUUAAUGAAGAAGUUAAAAAAAAAAGUUUGUUCAACUUUUAAUGUCCUACAUGAUCUGAGUUUAGACCGAUGAGAAUCAGGUUGGUUUCUAUCUUAAUAUAUAAAAUUUAUAAGUUAGUACGAAAGGAAUACUUAAAUAAAAUUUUUUUAUUAAGGUCUUACAGUUUUUGCAUCAAUUUUUGGA
rnacentral:rRNA from 1 species